rnacentral:rRNA from 1 species
AUUGAACGCUGGCGGCAUGCCUUACACAUGCAAGUCGAACGGUAACGGGCCUUCGGGUGCCGACGAGUGGCGAACGGGUGAGUAAUGUAUCGGAACGUACCUUUCAGUGGGGGAGAACGUAGCGAAAGUUACGCUAAUACCGCAUAUUCUGUGAGCAGGAAAGCAGGGGAUCGCAAGACCUUGCGCUGAUUGCGCGGCCGAUAUCAGAUUAGUGAGUUGGUGAGGGAAGGGCUCACCAAGGCGAUGAUCUGUAGCGGGUCUGAGAGGAUGAUCCGCAAGACUGGAACUGAGACACGGUCCAGACUCCUACGGGAGGCAGCAGUGGGGAAUUUUGGACAAUGGGGGGAACCCUGAUCCAGCCAUGCCGCGUGAGUGAAGAAGGCCUUCGGGUUGUAAAGCUCUUUCGGCCGGGAAGAAAUCGCACGGGCUAAUACCCUGUGUGGAUGACGGUACCGGAAUAAGAAGCACCGGCUAACUACGUGCCAGCCGCCGCCGUAACAC